GCAGCCUAGCCUGCGGGGCCUGCCGCAGUGGAGGUGGGGGUGGCAGGUAGCUGCGCUGGGGGUGCCUGCGGGCCCUGGGGAACCUGCGGAGGAGCCCUUAUAACUUGAGACUGGAUUUGCAGGAUCAGAGGCUGAGCCUGCGGGGCCCAAGAAGCCAUCGGCUGUGCAGGUGGGGCCAUCGGCUGUGCAGGUGGGGCCGCCGGCUGUGCCAUCGGUGCUCCUGAAGCUGGAGGCUGGGUCAUCGGAGCUCUCGCACCUGGAGGAUGAAUCAUCAGGACUCCUGGACCUGGAGGCUUGGCCAUCGGUGCUCCUGAAGGCUGAGGCUGGGUCAUCAUGGCUGCUGGAGGCGGCUGGACCAUCGGUGCUCCCGGAGCAGCAGGCUGGACCAUCAGGACUCCCGGAGUCAGAGGCUGGGCCAUCAGGACUCCCGGAGCUGGAGGCUGGGCCAUCGGUGUACCCGGAGGGGGAGGAUGAGCCAUCGGUGUCCCCGGAGGUGGAGGAUGAGCCAUCGGUGUCCCCGGAGGGGGAGGAUGAGCCAUCGGUGUCCCCGGAGGGGGAGGAUGAGCCAUCGGGGUCCCCGGAGGAGGAGGAUGCACCAUCGGGGUCCCCGGAGGAGGAGGAUGGGCCAUCGGGGUCCCCGGAGGAGGAGGAUGGGCCAUUGGGGUCCCCGGAGGGGGAGGGUGGGACAUUGGGGUCCCCGGAGGAGGAGGAUGGGCCAUGGGAGCUCCGGGAGCUGAAGGAUGCACCAUCAGGACUCCCGGGGUCGGAGGCUGGGCCAUCGGGGCUCCCGGAGGUGGAGGAUGCACCAUCAGGACCCCGGGAGUCGGAGGCUUACCCAUCGGGCCCCCCAGCGGGGGAGCCGGGACUAUCGGGCCCCCUAGGGCAGGAGGCUGGGUCAUCGGAACCACCGGGGCGGGCAGCUGGCCCUGUGGGGCCUCCCAGGCAGGCUGAGGUGCCUGCCAAGCGGCCAAUGAAGCCUGCAAGUCAAUUGGAGGUGGAUCCCAAGGGACUGGCGGAGCCCGGGAGGAAGCGGGCGGGGCCCGCAUCAGAACCGUAGGGCGGCUAUAGACAGGCGGCUUCGGGGCCUCCGCCGGAGGACUCGAGUCACCCAGAUUCUUACUUAGCUGCGACAUGUCCCUUUGCUGACAGCUGGUGGGUCUUUUCCUCGGACAGCUGCUGGGCCUUUUCCUCCAGAGAGAAGAGAAUGCCUACGUGGCUGUUCAGAGGCUCCCUCCCUGCUGAAUGCUGAAUAGGAAGUGAGUGCUGCUCGCU
rnacentral:lncRNA from 1 species